GAUCUGCUCGCCGUUGCAGACCUGAGCUCUAUCUCUGCUUCUUCAGAUUCUUCACUCGCUGCGUGGCUUUCCCAAGACACCAAGAUGGAGAAGAAGGGCGUUUCCGUCUCUCCGAAGACCGCGUGGAUCCUCCUUCUCGCCUUGUGUUCGAGCGCUAUCAAGGAUGUUUCCGCCGA